rnacentral:misc_RNA from 1 species
UGCACCGCAACAGUAAUGGCUGAGAACUGUUCAAGAAACGGCUUGCAAUUCAGCUCGCGCCCGCGAAAUUAGCAAAAAGUAUCAUAUGGAAAAAAGUCACAGCUGAAGCUUUGUCUUUAGCACAACGGGACCUCUGGCAUGAAGAUCUAGAGCAUGACGUACGAAAACAUUUUCGCAGCCAUUCUCAUUUCCAUUAUUUUCACAGUCGCAAGUACACAAUUCCUCGAGAACAUACCCCAGUCCGUGGGAUAUCAGGCUGUUUGUCUCAAGGGGGCAACCAAUAUGGACCUACAACACUACGGAACGUACAGACAAAACCUGCAAGGUGGAUCUUGUGCGACGUGCCACCACAUUGUAUCUGAGAUUCAACCGAUCAUACGACUGCCAUGAACAAAGGCCAAAUAUUCAAAUGCUGGGACGAUUUGAUUUAAGUAACAGGGCUGAGGUCAGGAUCGGCCGUGUAGGUAGACGUUAUUACGACCUCCGAGUGAAGAAUUCCUCCGUAGAAGCUGGACCUCACGCGGACUGCAGAAGGGAGUUCUGUCGGCUCACACAGCAUGGAACAGUUCUUUAUCAGCCAAUUUGUCAGAGAAGACUUAGACUAUAAUUGAAUUACCUUUGCCAAUAUUUCAGUGCAGCGUUGAAGUGCGAUGGGGGCGAUAUGCGAAAACACCCGUGGUGCUUAGAUUUAGUUGCACGUUAAAGAACCCCAGGUGGUCUAAAUUUCCGGAGUCCUCCACUAUGGCGUGCCUCAUAAACAGAAAGUGGUCUUGGCACGUUAAACCCCACAAUUUAAUUUGCGUUGAAGAGCAAGCCUUCAAUGUGCGAGCAUGGUACUGUUCUUGGCAUUGAUACGUUUACAUAAAAUUGCAAGCAAAUAAAGAACCGAAGCGCUGCGUAAUGCCAGUGGAGUUACAUUGAUAUCUAGGCAAUAAUAGUUUGAGCCAGCGUCUUGCGACAAUCAAAGAUCGGAUCCACAGUUGAUGCAUUUAGUUGCGGCCUCAGAAAAAAAACUGUGUUAUGACGAGGGAUGUGGUAAAGUGAAUACUCUUAUCAACUUCGGUGAAUCUGCUCGAUUUUCUUCUUGCCAGGAAAAGUUGGUAGAGCCAGGUAAGCAGGGCCUAUGGCGGGGAUGGCAAAUGGCUAAAUGAGGUGGUACAUAGACGGCAAGCUGUGUCGGUUCCGCCAACAGUGGAUUUCGCUCUCGUGUGGGUCACAUAGAACACACGGUAGCUCUCUCCAUGUUUUUCCGCAUAGCCAGGUAGGCACGUUAUCUAGCCGCCCCCUCCUACUUUGAGCGUUGGUAUAUUGGUUGGUGACACCAGAGACUGCCACCACUGCCCCCUUUCCCGUACGCUGUAUUUCUUCUCCACCGAAAUUUCCCCACACACACAUUUCGUGACUACAGCGUUUGCUACUUCCAGCGUCGAAACUUCCUGGCAUACAAACACAUUAUGGUCUUUGUCACUGUGCUAAAGAAACUAGAAAGUGAGCCUAACUUUUGCUAAUAAAGCGAACUAGAGGAAAGCUUGGCUUCCUUCCUUAAAAUGAUGAUACGGCUUGA